CCUACGGGUGGCAGCAGUGGGGAAUAUUGCGCAAUGGGCGAAAGCCUGACGCAGCGACGCCGCGUGAGGGAUGAAGGUCUUCGGAUCGUAAACCUCUGUCAGCAGGGAAGAACGGUCACUGUACUAAUCAGCAGUGAAUUGACGGUACCUGCAAAGGAAGCACCGGCUAACUCCGUGCCAGCAGCCGCGGUAAUACGGAGGGUGCGAGCGUUAAUCGGAAUUACUGGGCGUAAAGCGCUCGUAGGCGGUAUGUCAAGUCAAGGGUGAAAUCCCCGGGCUCAACGUGGGAACUGCCUUUGAAACUGGCAAACUGGAGUGUGGGAGAGGAAAGUGGAAUUCCAGGUGUAGGGGUGAAAUGCGUAGAUAUCUGGAGGAACAUCAGUGGCGAAGGCGACUAUCUGGCACAUAACUGACGCUGAGGAGCGAAAGCGUGGGUAGCAAACAGGAUUAGAUACCCUGGUAGUC
rnacentral:rRNA from 1 species